rnacentral:rRNA from 1 species
GCACGCCGCGGUAACACCGGCGGCCCGAGUGGUGAUCGUGAUUAUUGGGUCUAAAGGGUCCGUAGCCGGUUUGGUCAGUCCUCCGGGAAAUCUGAUAGCUCAACUAUUAGGCUUUCGGGGGAUACUGCCAGACUUGGAACCGGGAGAGGUAAGAGGUACUACAGGGGUAGGAGUGAAAUCUUGUAAUCCCUGUGGGACCACCUGUGGCGAAGGCGUCUUACCAGAACGGGUUCGACGGUGAGGGACGAAAGCUGGGGGCACGAACCGGAUUAGAUACCCGGGUAGUCCCAGCCGUAAACGAUGCUCGCUAGGUGUCAGGCAUGGCGCGACCGUGUCUGGUGCCGCAGGGAAGCCGUGAAGCGAGCCACCUGGGAAGUACGGCCGCAAGGCUGAAACUUAAAGGAAUUGGCGGGGGAGCACAACAACGGGUGGAGCCUGCGGUUUAAUUGGACUCAACGCCGGACAACUCACCGGGGGCGACAGCAAUAUGUAGGCCAAGCUGAAGACUUUGCCUGAAUCGCUGAGAGGAGUGGUGCAUGG